rnacentral:rRNA from 1 species
GAUGAACGCUGGCGGCGUGCCUAAUACAUGCAAGUCGAGCGAAUGGAUUAAGAGCUUGCUCUUAUGAAGUUAGCGGCGGACGGGUGAGUAACACGUGGGUAACCUGCCCAUAAGACUGGGAUAACUCCGGGAAACCGGGGCUAAUACCGGAUAACAUUUUGAACCGCAUGGUUCGAAAUUGAAAGGCGGCUUCGGCUGUCACUUAUGGAUGGACCCGCGUCGCAUUAGCUAGUUGGUGAGGUAACGGCUCACCAAGGCAACGAUGCGUAGCCGACCUGAGAGGGUGAUCGGCCACACUGGGACUGAGAAACGGCCCAGACUCCUGCGGGAGGCAGCCGUAGGGAAUCUUCCGCAAUGGACGAAAGUCUGACGGAGCAACGCCGCGUGAGUGAUGAAGGCUUUCGGGUCGUAAAACGCUGUUGUUAGGGAAGAACAAGUGCUAGUUGAAUAAGCUGGCACCUUGACGGUACCUAACCAGAAAGCCACGGCUAACUACGUGCCAGCCGCCGCCGUAA